GGGGCGCUAGCUCAGUUGGUAGAGCAGCGGACUCUUAAUCCGUAGGUCGACAGUUCGAAUCUGUCGCGCCCCACCA
rnacentral:tRNA from 8 species